AACGACAUCGAAAGCUUGCUUUCGAUGGGCGUCGACCGGCGCACGGGUGAGUAACGCGUAUCCAACCUGCCCAUCACUUGGGGAUAACCUUGCGAAAGUAAGACUAAUACCCAAUGACGUCUCUAGAAGACAUCUGAAGGAGAUUAAAGAUUUAUCGGUGAUGGAUGGGGAUGCGUCUGAUUAGCUUGUUGGCGGGGUAACGGCCCACCAAGGCGACGAUCAGUAGGGGUUCUGAGAGGAAGGUCCCCCACAUUGGAACUGAGACACGGUCCAAACUCCUACGGGAGGCAGCAGUGAGGAAUAUUGGUCAAUGGGCGAGAGCCUGAACCAGCCAAGUAGCGUGCAGGAUGACGGCCCUAUGGGUUGUAAACUGCUUUUAUAAGGGAAUAAAGUGAGCCUCGUGAGGCUUUUUGCAUGUACCUUAUGAAUAAGGACCGGCUAAUUCCGUGCCAGCAGCCGCGGUAAUACGGAAGGUCCGGGCGUUAUCCGGAUUUAUUGGGUUUAAAGGGAGCGUAGGCCGGAGAUUAAGCGUGUUGUGAAAUGUAGACGCUCAACGUCUGCACUGCAGCGCGAACUGGUUUCCUUGAGUACGCACAAAGUGGGCGGAAUUCGUGGUGUAGCGGUGAAAUGCUUAGAUAUCACGAAGAACUCCGAUUGCGAAGGCAGCUCACUGGAGCGCAACUGACGCUGAAGCUCGAAAGUGCGGGUAUCGAACAGGAUUAGAUACCCUGGUAGUCCGCACGGUAGACGAUGGAUGCCCGCUGUUGGUCUGAAUAGGUCAGCGGCCAAGCGAAAGCA
rnacentral:rRNA from 1 species